ACAGGAGCCAGCGUGGGGGUAAGAUGUUAGGAUCGGCCGGCCAGCUGCUGGGGUCUGUGCUCUGCCUCCCUGGGGCAUCAUCAUCUCUGGCCAGGAGUAGGACAGUCACCAUGGAAGCCCUGGGAAUGGAGGGAGAAGAGUGAGUGGUAGAGAAAUAAGACAUUCCUAACUUGUUCUCCCACGAGCUUGUUCUUCGCCAUGUUCCUGAUACAUCGGUCUAAAAGCCUUUCAGCGGCCUCCAUGGACAAGCGGAACACUCUUCUUAUGAGCUGCUUGCUCAGUUCCUGAGGGAACUGCACCACAUUUUGCUCUGAGGGCCUCAUGUCAGUCCCCAAGGACGACUCCUGCAGAGUACGUCUGAAACUGCCAGGAUCAACAGGACAUGCCUAUCUGCAAUGGAACGGACAGAAUUGCCCCACCUUACGGCACUUAUGCCUACAUAUAACCAAGAAGACAGGGAGCACCUUCCUCCACCUGCCUGUGUGAAUGGGCUCUUCUAGGGCUCUGAGCACCACUCAGGCAGAGUCUUGGCUGGCCUCACUGCCAAGUAUGUUGAGCUAAUUUGUUUUCCAAGAUCAACAAUGCCACCAGUAUGACCUGUUAAUGUUGCCGAGACCCCUGUAACAAUUCGUCAGUCUUUAGGUAUGGUAGAGACUACACACGCCUAGGGAGGAUGCAAAUCAAGCUUUGCAAUCAGUUCCCAGUGUUCUGCCAGAAUGGCCUCUAUUGCUGCAGGGAGACAUUUUCAUUUUCCGAUCAGAUGUUCAUUCACGACCCCAGACAGCUUCGUCUUUCGAUGCCAUCUGAAGCUCUCUACCCAUUCUAUCUCCAACAAUUCCUGUAACCCUUGAGUAUGGCCCAUCCCAGCACAACAGAGCUCUCCUUGCAAGCCUCAGGUCUUCUGCGGCACCUCUUUCCACAGCAGUGCAUUGGGGAGGCAGGUGGCUGUCAGAGUUCUUACUGCUGUCACCACUCCUCUGCUCAGUUUGUGUGCCAGGGGUGGCCUAACAGCCACAACUGGAGAGAUUUUAAGAUGCCAGCUCCUAGCUUUACUAGUCCACCUACUGAGUCUCUGAGGGACUAGGGGAUGGUCUUACAACGUUAUCCUGUUUGGUGUUUCAACAGUCUUUCAAUUGGCUGCUAUGGACCUAUGUUUCAGGAUUUCCUCACCAUAAUUAGUCCUCGACAUACAUUUAGGCUGUUGUUUGGAAUUAUGGACUCGAAAUGGAAAGAUUCUGUUUAAGGAUAGGUGGAGAUGUGGGGGCAGAGGGGAAUUCAUCAUUAUAGGUGCCUCAAAAAUCAUCCCUUGUUUUGCAGAGGUAAAGCAGCAUGGGUUUUCUGACACCCACAUAGAGCUUUCUAAUCAAGACACAGACAGUGGAGGAAAGAGGUCACAUUUUCCUCCAUUUAUUUAUUUAUUUAUUAUGUCGCCAACUGGUUUGUUCUAUUUCUGAUCACAAAGCUUGUGUGGGCUGCCCCAUCCAAUUCUAGUCCUCUAAGACAUUUGUGACAGAUUGAUUUUCAAUUGUAGUUGAUGAAAUUUUGCCCCCCCCACCUCGCCGCACCGCACCCCCUGCCCCGUGUCCUCACAGGCAAGGACUGUGAGGACUGUGUGGAAAGCAGAAACAGGACUGCAUUUGGACCGUAUCACACUAAAUGAAACUCGUAGAUGUUACUUUCAAAAGGCUGUUUUGUUCCCUUUGAUUUUCCUCCCAUCAUUUGUCUAUUUAGAUAAGCCCACUUUAUGGAUUGUAGAAAAAAGCCAAGGGGAAGUGGUUAUUAUGAUGGAGAAUGAGGAGCUUCAUUCAGUACUUAUCUUUUUUUUUUUUUUUUUAAGAAAAAAAAAGUAAUUUGAAUGGGAAGCCCAGAAGCAUUUAGCUUUUACAUUUAUGUGCUUGCUGGAUUUUGGUGCCAAUUUUUCUUUCCUUUGGAUGAGAGAUAGGUAAUUUGUAGUCCAUUGUGCAUUUAUAAUGCCGUGCCUGAUGUCUCAUUAGCAAACAAAACAAUAAAUUGCAUGACAUAUCAGUUAAUGACAUAUCCUUCCCAUGGUAUAUGAUAAUUUUUGAAUACUGAGAACUUGUUUUAAAAUUUGAAGUGUUUUCUUUUGAAAUCUAUCUUCCAGUCUAUUUCUCUAUUCCCCUUCAUCCUGAUCUCUGAAAUAAAAAUCUGCACUUGCUGCCACAUUCCCACACCCUAGUCAGUCCUCCACUGGAUUCUGGACCACCAUUACCCCAAGCUAGCUCAUCUCAGAGGUCACUACUGAAUUCCGAAUGGCCAAGUUCAAGUUCCAAAAUUUUCAGCCCUUGGCUCACCUGAUUGUAACAUCUGAUUUCACAUCCAAUUUCAUAGGGAAAAUAUAUGUAAACCAGUUUGAACUUGCUCAACUUCCUAUUCUAAAAUUAAGCCCUUCUUUCUCAAAGUUCCAUUCUUGAUACCAUUGCCUUCUCUAGAAU